rnacentral:rRNA from 1 species
UACGAAGGGUGCAAGCGUUAAUCGGAAUUACUGGGCGUAAAGCGUGCGUAGACGGCCUUUUAAGUCUGCUGUGAAAGCCCUGGGCUCAACCUGGGAACUGCAGUGGAUACUGUGAGGCUGGAGUGCGGUAGAGGAUGGUGGAAUUCCCGGUGUAGCGGUGAAAUGCGUAGAGAACGGGAGGAACAUCAGUGGCGAAGGCGGCCAUCUGGACCAGCACUGACGUUGAGGCACGAAAGCGUGGGGAGCAAACAGG